rnacentral:tRNA from 1 species
ACCUGGCUAGCUCAGUCAGUAGAGCACGUGACUUUUGAUUUCAGAGUUGUGAGUUCAAGUCCAACGUUGGGUG